rnacentral:rRNA from 1 species
GACGAACGCUGGCGGCGUGCUUAACACAUGCAAGUCGAACGGAAAGGCCCCUUUUGGGGUACUCGAGUGGCGCACGGGUGAGUAACACGUGAGUAACCUGCCCUUGACUUCGGGAUAACUUCAGGAAACUGGGGCUAAUACCGGAUAGGAAUCCUUGCUGCAUGGUGGGGGUUGGAAAGCUUCGGCGGUUUUGGAUGGACUCGCGGCUUAUCAGCUUGUUGGUGGGGUAGUGGCUUACCAAGGCUUUGACGGGUAGCCGGCCUGAGAGGGCGACCGGCCACAUUGGGACUGAGAGACGGCCAAGACUCCUACGGGAGGCAGAAGUGGGGAAUAUUGCACAAUGGGCGGAAGCCUGAUGCAGCAACGCCGCGUGCGGGAAGAAGGCCUUCGGGUUGGAAACCGCUUUCAGCAGGGGCGAAGCUUGUGGUGACGGUACCUGCAGAAGAAGCACCGGCUAACUACGUG